GGGGGGAGUGUCUCCUCAGUCAUUCACUUCAUCCUACUAGUCAUUUCUGUCACCACGCGGUCUCCGCACUGUUGGCUCAUCCAAAGACGCGAGAUGAUUCAGGGAGCGGAGGUUGGGAGGUAACAGGCCAUGCCAGCUGGCUCGCUGAAAUGUGCCAGUGCUUUGAGCUGCGCCGCAGGACCUCUGGGAUUUGGGUGGUAUUUGCUGAGAACUGUCAACAGUUGACCUCCCAUUCCUACAGACUUUCCCUGACAACAGCUCAGUGCAAGGAACUUGGAACAGACUGUCUUGCUGGGUAAAGACUUAAAUCUUUGUCUGCUCAAAAAAAAGUCCUGAAUU